AUACGGAGGAUCCGAGCGUUGUCCGGAUUUAUUGGGUUUACAGGGUGCGCAGGCGGCCAUUUAAGUCAGCGGUUAAAUCGUGGGGCUCAACCCCAUUCUGCCGUUGAUACUGGGUGGCUUGAUUGCGGUCGAGGUUGGCGGAAUUCGUUGUGUAGCGGUGAAAUGCAUAGAUAUGACGAAGAACACCGAUUGCGUAGGCAGCUGACCAGACCGCAAAUGACGCUCAUGCACGAAAGUGCGGGGAUCGAACAGGAUUAGAUACCCUGGUAGUCCGCACAGUAAACGAUGAAUACUUGUUUUCGGCGAUAUAAUGUCGGAGGCAAAGCGAAAGCGAUAAGUAUUCCACCUGGGGAGUACGCCGGCAACGGUGAGACUCAAAUGAAUUGACGGGG
rnacentral:rRNA from 1 species